UCCCUGGUGGUCCAGUGGCUAAGAUUCUGUGUUCCUAAUGCAGGGGGCCUGGGUUCGAUCCCGGAUCAGGGAA
rfam:TPA: Bos taurus chromosome 19, whole genome shotgun sequence.